ACGGAGGAUGCAAGCGUUAUCCGGAUUUAUUGGGUUUAAAGGGUGCGUAGGCGGUUGGAUAAGUCAGCGGUGAAAGUUUUCUGCUUAACAGGAAAAAUGCCGUUGAUACUGUCUGGCUAGAAUAUGGUUGCUGUGAGUGGAAUGUGUGGUGUAGCGGUGAAAUGCUUAGAUAUCACACAGAAUAUCGAUUGCGAAGGCAGCUCACAAAGCCAUUAUUGACGCUGAGGCACGAAAGUGUGGGGAUCAAACAG
rnacentral:rRNA from 1 species